rnacentral:rRNA from 1 species
GACGAACGCUGGCGGCGUGCUUAACACAUGCAAGUCGAACGAUGAAGCCGGAGCUUGCUCUGGUGAAUUAGUGGCGAACGGGUGAGUAACACGUGAGUAACCUGCCCUUGACUCUGGGAUAACUGCGGGAAACUGUAGCUAAUACCGGAUACGACCCUCGGAGGCAUCUCCUGGGGGUGGAAAGAAUUCCGGUCAAGGAUGGACUCGCGGCCUAUCAGCUAGUUGGUGAGGUAAAGGCUCACCAAGGCGACGACGGGUAGCCGGCCUGAGAGGGUGACCGGCCACACUGGGACUGAGACACGGCCCAGACUCCUACGGGAGGCAGCAGUGGGGAAUAUUGCACAAUGGGCGCAAGCCUGAUGCAGCAACGCCGCGUGAGGGAUGACGGCCUUCGGGUUGUAAACCUCUUUUAGCAGGGAAGAAGCGAAAGUGACGGUACCUGCAGAAAAAGCACCGGCUAACUACGUGCCAGCAGCCGCAGUAAUAC